rnacentral:rRNA from 1 species
AGAACAAACGCUGGCGGCGUGCCUAAUACAUGCAAGUCGAACGAGGUAGCAAUACCUAGUGGCGCACGGGUGAGUAACACGUGGGUAAUCUUCCUCAAAGCGUGGGAUAACCAGUCGAAAGAUUGGCUAAUACCACAUAAGACCACAGGAUCUGCGGAUCCAGGGGUCAAAGGUUUUUCGCUUUGAGAUGAGCCCGCGCAAGAUUAGCUAGUUGGUGAGGUAACGGCUCACCAAGGCAACGAUCUUUAGCUGGUCUGAGAGGAUGAUCAGCCACACUGGAACUGAGACACGGUCCAGACUCCUACGGGAGGCAGCAGUAGGGAAUAUUGCACAAUGGAGGAAACUCUGAUGCAGCGACGCCGCGUGAGUGAUGAAGGACUUCGGUUCGUAAAGCUCUGUCGUAUGGGAAUAAUAAAGUGAAUGUACCAUGACAAGAAAGGAUCGGCUAACUUCGUGCCAGCAGCCGCGGUAAU